CCCUCUCUCUCUGUCUGUCUGUCUGUCUGUCUGUCUGUCUGUCUGUCUGUCUGUCUGUCUGUCUGUCUGUCUGUCUGUCUCUCUCUCUCUCUCUCUCUCUCUCUCUCUCUCUCUCUCUCUCUCUCUCUCUCUCUCUCUCUCUCUCUCUCUCUCUCUCUCUCUCUCUCUCUCAACAUAUGGCUGCUUUUGAUAUGGAAUUGCAAAUGUUGGGAAUAGUGUUUAAUAAUGUAGAAUUUAAUUCAAAACAUUUUAUUUUAGAUAACAUGUAAAUUGAAAUGGAAGUCUUCUUCAAAGAAUAAAACACAACAAUGAGCCACACUUUAUAGUUUUUCAAUACAGACGCAUUUUGCCGGAAAACGAAUCUGACUUCAAACCACGAAAUUUUAACAGGAAGGAGACAAUUUGAUGAGCUUUCAUUCAAGAGGUCCCUCGUUGCUGAACGAAAAUUAGGGCCGGAGCUAUGAACCCUAACGUUAACAUUACCGCCUAUGGAAAAUGCAUUAGUGGACUAUACCCAUAUUGAGCUCCAUGCUGUGCGAUCAUUUCAAGCGAGCAAAAGUGAAAGUAGAAAAGCAGAAAGUUUCCGGUGAGGAAAAAUACUUCAUUCUAGCAGUGUCCAGCUAUCUAAGAUUAGUUUGCAUUGUAAGGGAAUUGUAUUAGUGUCCGAUAACAUGUAAAUUGAAAUGGAAGUCUUCUUCAAAGAAUAAAACACAACAAUGAGCCACACUUUAUAGUUUUUCAAUACAGACGCAUUUUGCCGGAAAACGAAUCUGACUUCAAACCACGAAAUUUUAACAGGAAGGAGACAAUUUGAUGAGCUUUCAUUCAAGAGGUCCCUCGUUGCUGAACGAAAAUUAGGGCCGGAGCUAUGAACCCUAACGUUAACAUUACCGCCUAUGGAAAAUGCAUUAGUGGACUAUACCCAUAUUGAGCUCCAUGCUGUGCGAUCAUUUCAAGCGAGCAAAAGUGAAAGUAGAAAAGCAGAAAGUUUCCGGUGAGGAAAAAUACUUCAUUCUAGCAGUGUCCAGCUAUCUAAGAUUAGUUUGCAUUGUAAGGGAAUUGUAUUAGUGUCCGAUAACAUGUAAAUUGAAAUGGAAGUCUUCUUCAAAGAAUAAAACACAACAAUGAGCCACACUUUAUAGUUUUUCAAUACAGACGCAUUUUGCCGGAAAACGAAUCUGACUUCAAACCACGAAAUUUUAACAGGAAGGAGACAAUUUGAUGAGCUUUCAUUCAAGAGGUCCCUCGUUGCUGAACGAAAAUUAGGGCCGGAGCUAUGAACCCUAACGUUAACAUUACCGCCUAUGGAAAAUGCAUUAGUGGACUAUACCCAUAUUGAGCUCCAUGCUGUGCGAUCAUUUCAAGCGAGCAAAAGUGAAAGUAGAAAAGCAGAAAGUUUCCGGUGAGGAAAAAUACUUCAUUCUAGCAGUGUCCAGCUAUCUAAGAUUAGUUUGCAUUGUAAGGGAAUUGUAUUAGUGUCCGAUAACAUGUAAAUUGAAAUGGAAGUCUUCUUCAAAGAAUAAAACACAACAAUGAGCCACACUUUAUGUAAGUAAAAUUUAUUUUUGUAACUUCCCUCGUCCAAGUUUAAAAGAAGGAACCUAUAAAAUCUAUAUACCCUGCAAGGCCAGUAUUUUACAUGCAGAUAAUUUAGAAUAUUAUAGAUACUGGGAAACUUUACAUUGAUUAUACAUAUUUCACAGACUUUGUGGGUAUUUCUUGUUCUUCUGGAUUUUGAACUUUAGUUAAAUGUAGACUCUCUUCCACAGGAUAUGUCUUUUGAUAAUUUUUGCUAAAUUUGUUACCAUGGUAACAAGAUACAAGAGUAAAAGAAAAAUUCCUUAUUAGCAAGUUUCUUUUCCCUAUGACAUAUAUUUAAUGAGUUAAGUCAUGGUGCAUUUGUUCCGAAAUUAGGCUUAAAUAGAAGUUCAGCAAAUAUUACACUUAUAUGAGUAAAAACAACUCAUCACUAUGACGUCAUAGGUGAGGUAAUCUCAAGCUAGCAUCAAAAUGGAGCAAAAACUGAAUUGAGGGCCUCACAUUAUAGAGUCAUAUAACUUUAUCAUUUAUAAACCAAUACCUACAUGUAAUACCUUGAUGGAUAGGGAAAUUCCUAUACUUUUCUAUUUUACCUUUUUCGUGGUGUUUGAAAACAAUUCUUUUUUGUAACUAAAGAAAAACUCAUGAUUUUUACGACAACAAUUUUAUAAAAUCAGACAUAAUUGAGCUUUUUCAUAAGAAUAUGAACAAAAUAAAUUUGGUAAAAUAUUGAAUGUUUAUGUUUUACAUGUAUUUUAAUCCUUGAGAUUAAAUUUUCCUCAAUUUAUGCAAUUUGAAGAGCAUCGAGUGCCAAUGAGCUAUAUGUUGUUCAGGUAAAUUAUGACUGGACUGUUUCUUCAAAUUUCAUGCAUGUGUAUCAAUGCUGCAAAAUCCAUAGUUAUGUAUUGAAUUUUUCCAAAUUUGGAAUCAUGGUUCUUUAUAGUGUCUAGAGUGAAUAUAUAAGCUAAGAAUUGUAAAUAACCACAAUGACUGUUUUAUAUUGGGUAUAUCCCUCUAACUAUUUUUAGAAUCGGUAGGACAACAAAGAAGUGCC